UGCGAACUCCUACGGGAGGCAGCAGUAGGGAAUCUUCCACGAUGGGCGCAAGCCUGAUGGAGCAACACCGCGUGAGUGGAGAAGGGUUUCGGCUCGUAAAACUCUGUUGUUGAAGAAGAACGUGCGUGAGAGUAACUGUUCAUGCAGUGACGGUAUUCAACCAGAAAGUCACGGCUAACUACGUGCCAGCAGCCGCGGUAAUACGUAGGUGGCAAGCGUUAUCCGGAUUUAUUGGGCGUAAAGCGAGCGCAGGCGGUUGCUUAGGUCUGAUGUGAAAGCCUUCGGCUUAACCGAAGAAGUGCAUCGGAAACCGGGCGACUUGAGUGCAGAAGAGGACAGUGGAACUCCAUGUGUAGCGGUGGAAUGCGUAGAUAUAUGUAAGAACACCAGUGGCGAAGGCGGCUGUCUGGUCUGCAACUGACGCUGAGGCUCGAAAGCAUGGGUAGCGAACAGGAUUAGAAACCCUUGUAGUCCAGAUG
rnacentral:rRNA from 1 species